rnacentral:rRNA from 1 species
CCUACGGGCGGCAGCAGUGAGGAAUAUUGGUCAAUGGGCGGGAGCCUGAACCAGCCAAGCCGCGUGAAGGAAGAAGGCGCCAGGCGUCGUAAACUUCUUUUGUCGGGGAACAAAGGCGCCCACGGGUGGGCGGAUGAGUGUACCCGAAGAAAAAGCAUCGGCUAACUCCGUGCCAGCAGCCGCGGUAAUACGGAGGAUGCGAGCGUUAUCCGGAUUUAUUGGGUUUAAAGGGUGCGUAGGCGGACAGUCAAGUCAGCGGUAAAAAUGCGGUGCUCAACGCCGUACAGCCGUUGAAACUGGCAGUCUUGAGUGGGCGAGAAGUAUGCGGAAUGCGUGGUGUAGCGGUGAAAUGCAUAGAUAUCACGCAGAACUCCGAUUGCGAAGGCAGCAUACCGGCGCCCGACUGACGCUGAGGCACGAAAGCGUGGGUAUCGAACAGGAUUAGAUACACUAGUAGUC